GAUUGGACAAACUGAGGAAGAAUGC
rnacentral:piRNA from 2 species